GACGAACGCUGGCGGCGUGCUUAACACAUGCAAGUCGAACGGAAAGGCCUGCUUUCCCUUGUGGAUUGCGGGUACUCGAGUGGCGAACGGGUGAGUAACACGUGAGUGAUCUGCCCCCAACUUGGGUAUAAGCCUGGGAAACUGGGUCUAAUUCCCGAUAGGACUGCAGGGUGGUGCCUGUGGUGGAAAACGAUUUUCUAGUGGUUGGGGAUGAGCUCGCGGCCUAUCAGCUUGUUGGUGGGGUAAUGGCCUACCAAGGCGGCGACGGGUAGCCGGCCUGAGAGGGUGGACGGCAACAUUGGGACUGGGAUACGGCCCAGACUCCUACGGGAGGCAGCAGUGGGGAAGAUUGCACAAUGGGCGGAAGCCUGAUGCAGCGACGCCGCGUGGGGGAUGACGGCCUUCGGGUUGUAAACUCCUUUCGACCGCGAGGAAGCCACCUGGUUGGAAGGGUGGUGACGGUAGUGGUAGAAGAAGCACCGGCUAACUACGUG
rnacentral:rRNA from 1 species